UACGUAGGGCGCGAGCGUUGUCCGGAAUUAUUGGGCGUAAAGAGCUCGUAGGCGGCCUGUUGCGUCCGCUGUGAAAAUCCCGGGGCUCAACCCUGGGCGUGCAGUGGAUACGGGCAGGCUGGAGGCAGGCAGGGGGAGAACGGAAUUCCCGGUGUAGCGGUGAAAUGCGCAGAUAUCAGGAGGAACACCGGUGGCGAAGGCGGUGGUCUGGGCCGGAACUGACGCUGAAUAGCGAAAAGCGUGGGGUAGCGAACAGG
rnacentral:rRNA from 1 species